CGGACGGGUGAGUAAUGUCUGGGAAACGUGCCCGAUGGAGGGGGAUAACUACUGGAAACGGUAGCUAAUACCGCAUAACGUCGCAAGACCAAAGAGGGGGACCUUAGGGCCUCUUGCCAUCGGAUGUGCCCAGAUGGGAUUAGCUAGUAGGUGGGGUAAAGGCUCACCUAGGCGACGAUCCCUAGCUGGUCUGAGAGGAUGACCAGCCACACUGGAACUGAGACACGGUCCAG
rnacentral:rRNA from 1 species